CGAGUACCCAGACAGGCAGCGUUGAACUAAAAACAAAAAGAAAAAGAAAAAUCAACAGAAAAAGGAAGGAAAAGGAGGACAAUCAACCAUUUGGCCUUACACUGGGUUCAUCAGGACAUGGAAUCACAGGGCACUCUUUUUUAGAGGGGAAUGAAGAGGAAAAGAAUGAGAACUUGCCACUUGAGAGUCAUUCAGGUCAAGUCUGACUAAAAAGUCCUCUUACCCCUGAACAAGGCACUCUUCAAGUCAGAAAGAGCUAAGCAGCAUGGGAAGAAAUAGAUAAUAUCUUUACACUGAUUUUGCCCAGCCUUUGCAGCAAAAAAGAGAGCACUCAUGAUCUGGUGCCUCAACUAAAAAAUUAAUGAGCCUGACAACAGGCCAGGCAGU